UAAUACGUAGGGUGCGAGCGUUGUCCGGAAUUAUUGGGCGUAAGGCGCGUGUAGGCGGCCAGGUAGGUCUGGUGUGAAAACUCGAGGCUUAACCUCGAGAUGUCAUCGGAAACCAUUUGGCUAGAGUCCGGAAGAGGAAAGUGGAAUUCCUGGUGUAGCGGUGAAAUGCGCAGAUAUCAGGAAGAACACCAAUGGCGAAAGCAGCUUUCUGGGACGGUACUGACGCUGAGACGCGAAAGCGUGGGGAGCGAACAGGA
rnacentral:rRNA from 1 species